UACGUAGGGGGCUAGCGUUGUUCGGAAUUACUGGGCGUAAAGGGCUCGUAGGCGGCCAACUAAGUCAGACGUGAAAUCCCUCAGCUUAACUGGGGAACUGCGUCUGAUACUGGAUGGCUUGGAUUCGGGAGAGGAAUGCGGAAUUCCAGGUGUAGCGGUGAAAUGCGUAGAUAUCUGGAGGAACACCGGUGGCGAAGGCGGCAUUCUGGACCGAUAUUGACGCUGAGGAGCGAAAGCCAGGGGAGCAAACAGG
rnacentral:rRNA from 1 species